UAUUUGUACAAAAAAGAUAGCUAGCCUCCAAAAAAUUUCCUCUCUACACUCUCCUUACAGACUCUCUACCUCUUCAUCUUCCAAGUGUUGUAAAUCACUAAUCCAACUCUUGAAAUCCUAGAGAAUCACAAGGUUAUUCUUGUCGUAGUGUUGGUGAUCGUUGAGAAGAUGUUCAUGUGAAGAACAAGAGAAAUUUUGAAAGGGUUGGGAAUCUACGAAGGUACUAUCACACACUCAUAUACUUACAAUGGAAGAGUUGUGUCUCAUCAUCAUUAAAUCCAAAUAAUCAUGUCUUUUCAAAGGUACGUGAGAACUACUACGUGAAUCUCACCUUAUAGCCCAUUUUAAUAUAAUAUAGACGUAGAUCACAUUUUAUUGUGUAAAAUCAAGCACUUAAUUGAUUUUGAUUAGUGAUUAAAUGUGGUUUUAACUUUUUCAAAUUGCUCCCAUGAAACAUGGCCAAUUAUAUAUAACAUAAUUGCCGGUAGAAUUCUCUCACAUGAAUUUUCUUCCUUUAAGGCUUAAAGCCGCUUAACCGAGUCUUGAAGUUUGGAGUCAAUAAGUGUGUGGGAUUAAAAAAUUUGUGUUUAGAGUGCAUGAGUUGAAUUAAUAAGUUAGAGGUAUUUAGUUUAGUUUUUUUUAUUAAAAAAUAUAACUUUCUGGUAAUUAUUUUUAUUUGCUUUAAUUUUUUGCAUAACACUUCAAUUAUACAUAUAUUUUUCUAAAUUCUUAAAACUGUCAACUUAAACCUUUAUGUAUAUUUUGUACUUUUGUAUAAUAAGGAUUGUACUUGAGGUAGACAAAAUACUCUUAUUUCAUACAAACCACAAAAUUAUAAUAUAAUUUCAGUCUUUCACAUUAGUACAAUGUAUGAGUGUAAUAUGAACAUAAUUUUAAAAGUAUUCCAUCAAGGGGUAUAAGUCAUUUUAUGGCAUCUUAUGUCAAAUUGUAGGUUAAGGCUUAUUAUGCAUAUAUGUUGGCAUUGGGAAUGUGACUAAAGUCCUACAUCUCCUAAAUAGGAGAUGAUCAUGGGUAUAUAUGGAAAGAAAACUAAGGGUGUGUUUAGAGUACCUUUCUAAGUGAUUAAACUAAAAGAAAAAAGUUAUUUUGAAAAAAAAAAAAUUCAUGUGUUUGGCAACCACCCAAAAUAGAUUUUCAAAAAAUGAGUUUAAAAUAAGUUGGUUUAUGAUAAACACUUAAAACCAACUUUUAGAGAAAUGAUUUUUCAGUGUUCAAUGGUUUAUAAGUUUUAUGAGUGAUUUAUGCAAAAACAAGUCGUGCUUUAGCAUUGAUUUUUGAAAUAAUGUAAAAAUAUGUCUAAAAAGAGUCGAAUAUUGAGUAAUUCUUGUGUUUUUAUGUCAUGGGUAAGAAAAUGUCAAAAUUGUGAUUGAAUUACGAUCACAAGGCUUUAGGUGAUAGAAUGUUGAGUUACAGAGAAGAGCCAAAUUGCACUCAAGUUGCGAUUAGAUUGCAACUACGACCUGCCAGAAACAAAAAAUUUUCCAUAUUUCUUUCUUUAAUUUUUUUGAACAUUAUAAAUUCUUCUCAAAUUCAAUCCAAAUCAGAUCAAGUCUGCAUAGUUUAUUCUGUCCAAACUGAUUAGAAAAGAGCUACAGUGCAUUCUAAGGAAACCCUAACCAUUUGAAGUCUAUAAAAAGCGUCAUUUGUUCUCUUUGAUCAAUUGUUCAACAAGCUCAAGCCACCAAGGAACUUUAGAGUUUUUCUAUCUUUUAUUUUCCAUAAUACACCCAAUGGAUUGUUGUUUUCGUUCUUCUUCAUCUUUCUAAAUCUUUUUUGGGUGUUUGGGUUGAACAAGCACAAAGACUAGUAGUCAUCUCGAAAGGGAGGGCUUAGCUAGAUUGAAAGGUAAGUUGAAAAGCUCUAUCGUAUUUCCUUUCCAUUUUAGUAUACUUUUGAAUUCUUACAACAGUGUAGUUUACAUCAUUUUUGCUAUUUUUUUAUAUUCUUUUACAUUUAAACAAGUUUGUAUUCGUUUCCAUUCAUUUAGUAACAUGACUUAUUACAUUCUUUACACUUUGUGCUCUUCACUUUUCAUUAUGAGUUAAAUAUUCUUUUGGGAUUCAAAGAUGUGGAUACCCCAAGGAUGAAAUAAAAGCUCCAUGUGUGUCCCCCUUUUACUUGCUCAACACUGAGUUCACAUUUGCUUUUAUUGAUUUAAUGUAAAUUGUUAACUUGGAUUAUUGAUCACCUAAGUUAGCAUACAAUGUUGAGUCUAAUAUUGAAAGAGAUAGAUAACAAACGGUUUUCAUAAAAGUAAUAUCGGAGAAAAGUUUACACGGGAUUUCAUUUGACCCCUAAACAUAGGGUAAUGUCUAUAGAAUCAUUUAGAUUGCAUGGUUAAUUAUCUAAGUUUGAAUUAGCCAUAAAAAUAUGUGUCUGAUUGCUUAGUCUUCUAAAGGUGAUUCUUCAAAGGAGAAUGGAGUUGAACGAUUUACGUGGCUAAGUGUGUUGAUUGGGGUAGAUUACAAGUGCAAUAUCUUCCUAUACAACUUAAUCCUUCUUAGAUGGGGUGCAUCUUGAUCACAUGCCAAGUAGUAUCUGGAUCUAGUUGAGCAGAAUAUAUGCAAGCGUAUAAUCGACGUAAUGUCCAAUUUGCAGGUUGCAAAUUUAUUUUGAAUCUCAUACUUUUAUCAUAUCUUUUCACAAUCAAAUAAAUUUUCUUGAUUACCAUCAAUUGUAAACUGUGAGGAGACUUUCCUUUGUUCAAAAUGGAUUGCUUAUACUCUAUUCCCUUGAAAUUCGAUACAUUGACUUAUCCAUUUUAUAUUACUUGUUGGUAAUCUAUACAUGCACCUAGGGACUGUUCGUUCUAACAUCUAACAUAAUCUUCAUCGAAGGUAGUCAACGAAAGUGUUCACCAUCGGAGUUUGACUAUCAGAGGUGGUCAUCUAAGCACAUUUCAUUGGAUUGAGGUGGCAAUAGUUAUGCAAUAAUGGUUGUUGCCAGAGUUGGGCUCCGGAGGUGGCUGCCAAAGUUGGCUAUCAGAGUUGGCUAUCGAAGCAUGUCGCUGAUAACUUGUAGAAAUAAAAGUUAUUUAUGCUGCCUUAUCUAGAUAUUGUGGCCAAAGAGAAGGAAUAUGCAUCGAUUGAAAUCAAGUCACCGUUUGCGAUCGAGGCUCAACGAGAAAUUGAACAAUGCAUCUCUGUCACAUUGCGCUCGUCAAUCAACAAUGAAUAGAUGAUUAACGCAAUGACGAUGCAAUGCGACAGUCGAUUCAGAGCUGAAUUUCAACCGCAUGCGGUAAUAAAAACAUC